AUACAGAGAGUGCAAACGUUGUUCGGAAUUACUGGGCUUAAAGCGCACGUAGGCGGCAUUGUAAGUGUCGGGUGAAAUCCCACGGCUCACCCGUGGAACUGCCCGGCAAACUGCAGUGCUAGAGUAUGGUAGGGGAGAGCGGAACUCAUGGUGGAGCGGUGAAAUGCGUAGAUAUCAUGAGGAACACCGGUGGCGAAGGCGGCUCUCUGGUCCAUCACUGACGCUGAGGUGCGAAAGCUAGGGUAGCGAACGGGAUUAGAAACCCCAGUAGUCC
rnacentral:rRNA from 1 species